rnacentral:misc_RNA from 1 species
GAUGAAGAACGUAGUGAAAUGCGAUAAGUAGUGUGAAUUGCAGAAUUCAGUGAAUCAUCGAAUCUUUGAACGCACAUUGCGCCCCUUGGUAUUCCAUGGGGCAUGCCUGUUCGAGCGUCAUUUGUACCCUCAAGCUUUGCUUGGUGUUGGGUGUUUGUUCCGCCUCUGUGUGUGAACUCGCCUCAAAACAAUUGGCAGCCGGCGUACUUGUUUCGGAGCGCAGCACAUUUUGCGAUCCAGAUCAACGUACAGCGGCAUCCAAGAAGCCUUAUUUAACGCUCUUGACCUCGGAUCAGGUAGGGAUACCCGCUGAACUUAAGCAUAUCAAUAAGCGGAGGA